CUACGUGCCAGCAGCCGCGGUAAUACGGAAGGUCCAGGCGUUAUCCGGAUUUAUUGGGUUUAAAGGGAGCGUAGGCCGUGGAUUAAGCGUGUUGUGAAAUGUAGACGCUCAACGUCUGAAUUGCAGCGCGAACUGGUUCACUUGAGUAUGCACAACGUAGGCGGAAUUCGUCGUGUAGCGGUGAAAUGCUUAGAUAUGACGAAGAACUCCGAUUGCGAAGGCAGCUUACGGGAGCACAACUGACGCUGAAGCUCGAAGGUGCGGGUAUCAAACAGGAUUAGAUACCCUGGUAGUCCGCACAGUAAACGAUGGAUGCCCGUUGUUAGUUCACCUAAGAAUUAGCGACCAAGCGAAAGCAUUAAGCAUCCCACCUGGGGAGUACGCCGGCAACGGUGAAACUCAAAGGAAUUGACGGGGGCCCGCACAAGCGGAGGAACAUGUGGUUUAAUUCGAUGAUACGCGAGGAACCUUACCCGGGCC
rnacentral:rRNA from 1 species